rnacentral:rRNA from 1 species
AACAGCUGCGGUAUUAUAACUGUACUAAGGUAGCAUAAUAAUUUGCUCUAUAAAUUGGGGCUAGAAUGAAUGGUUUGACGAAAAUUUGACUGUCUCUAUCUUAUUUAUUAGAAAUUAAUUUUUGUAGUGAGAAAGCUUAAAUUGUUUAAAGGGACGAAAAGACCCUAUUGAGCUUUAAUAAUUUAUUUUGAUUGGGGUGAUCAAGGAAUAAAACUUCCUUAUAUAUGGAAAAAUAAACCAAAUUUUUUGCUUAGAAGAUAAGUUACCAUAGGGAUAACAGCGUAAUUUUUUUUGAGAGUUCAUAUUGAAAAAAGAGAUUGCGACCUCGAUGUUGGAUUAAAAAACCUUAAGGUGGAGAGGCUUUAUUAGGUAAAUCUGUUCGAUUUUUAAAAUUUU